CCUACGGGAGGCAGCAGUGAGGAAUAUUGGUCAAUGGGCGAGAGCCUGAACCAGCCAAGUCGCGUGAAGGAUGACGGCCCUACUGGUUGUAAACUUCUUUUGUCAGGGAGCAAUUGGGUCCACGCGUGGGCUUAGCGAGAGUACCUGAAGAAAAAGCAUCGGCUAACUCCGUGCCAGCAGCCGCGGUAAUACGGGGGAUGCGAGUGUUAUCCGGAUUUAUUGGGGUUAAAGGGUGCGUAGGCGGAAUAUAAAGUCAGCGGUAAAAAUGCGGGGCUAAACCCCGUCGUGCCGUUGAAACUGAUGUGCUUGAGUGCGCGAGAAGUAUGUGGAAUGCGUGGUGUAGCGGUGAAAUGCAUAGAUAUCACGCAGAACUCCGAUUGCGAAGGCAGCAUACCGGCGCCCAACUGACGCUGAAGCACGAAAGCGUGGGGAUCGAACAGGAUUAGAUACCCGAGUAGUC
rnacentral:rRNA from 1 species